UUGAUCCUGGCUCAGGAUGAACGCUAGCGAUAGGCUUAACACAUGCAAGUCGAGGGGCAGCAUGGUCUUAGCUUGCUAAGACUGAUGGCGACCGGCGCACGGGUGCGUAACGCGUAUGCAACUUGCCUCACAGAGGGGGAUAACCCGUCGAAAGACGGACUAAUACCGCGUACACUCCAUCUUGGGCAUCCAGGGUAGAGGAAAUGAAAUUCGCUGUGAGAUAGGCAUGCGUCCCAUUAGCUAGUUGGUGAGGUAACGGCUCACCAAGGCGACGAUGGGUAGGGGAACUGAGAGGUUGAACCCCCACACUGGUACUGAGACACGGACCAGACUCCUACGGGAGGCAGCAGUGAGGAAUAUUGGUCAAUGGGCGAGAGCCUGAACCAGCCAAGUCGCGUGAAGGAUGACUGUCUUAUGGAUUGUAAACUUCUUUUAUACGGGAAUAACAAGAGUCACGUGUGACUCCCUGCAUGUACCGUAUGAAUAAGCAUCGGCUAACUCCGUGCCAGCAGCCGCGGUAAUACGGAGGAUGCGAGCGUUAUCCGGAUUUAUUGGGUUUAAAGGGUGCGUAGGCGGCCUGUUAAGUCAGCGGUGAAAUCUAGGAGCUUAACUCCUAAAUUGCCAUUGAUACCGGCGGGCUUGAGUGUAGAUGAGGUAGGCGGAAUGCGUGGUGUAGCGGUGGAAUGCAUAGAUAUCACGCAGAACUCCGAUUGCGAAGGCAGCUUACUAAGGUACAACUGACGCUGAAGCACGAAAGCGUGGGUAUCAAACAGGAUUAGAUACCCUGGUAGUCCACGCAGUAAACGAUGAUAACUGGGCGUAUGCGAUAUACAGUAUGCUCCUAAGCGAAAGCGUUAAGUUAUCCACCUGGGGAGUACGCCGGCAACGGUGAAACUCAAAGGAAUUGACGGGGGCCCGCACAAGCGGAGGAACAUGUGGUUUAAUUCGAUGAUACGCGAGGAACCUU
rnacentral:rRNA from 1 species